rnacentral:miRNA from 1 species
GAGAGGAUGGGAGGGAAGAUGAGAUUGAGAGAGAGGACGAGAGGGACGAGUAACAAAAGUGAAAACAAUUUGAAAUAGAUUUCAGUUUUUUGUCCCAUCUCCACUCUCACAUUCUCACUUCCAUUAUCCCUCUUUUU